GAUGAACGCUAGCGGCAGGCUUAACACAUGCAAGUCGAGGGGUAUAGUAGCAAUACUAGAGACCGGCGCACGGGUGCGUAACGCGUAUGCAACCUACCUUUUACAGAGGGAUAGCCCAGAGAAAUUUGGAUUAAUACCUCAUAGUGUUAUUAGAUGGCAUCAUUUGAUAACUAAAGUUCCAACGGUAAAGAUGGGCAUGCGUCCUAUUAGCUAGAUGGUAAGGUAACGGCUUACCAUGGCUACGAUAGGUAGGGGUCCUGAGAGGAGAUCCCCCACACUGGUACUGAGACACGGACCAGACUCCUACGGGAGGCAGCAGUGAGGAAUAUUGGACAAUGGGCGCAAGCCUGAUCCAGCCAUGCCGCGUGCAGGAAGAAGCAUCUAUGGUGUGUAAACUGCUUUUUGUACGGGAAGAAACACUCCUACGUGUAGGAGCUUGACGGUACCGUAAGAAUAAGGAUCGGCUAAACUCCGUGCCAGCAGCCGCGGUAAU
rnacentral:rRNA from 1 species